rnacentral:rRNA from 1 species
UACGUAGGGGGCGAGCGUUGUCCGGAAUUACUGGGCGUAAAGCGUGCGCAGGCGGUUAUGCAAGACAGAUGUGAAAUCCCCGGGCUCAACCUGGGAACUGCAUUUGUGACUGCAUGGCUAGAGUACGGUAGAGGGGGAUGGAAUUCCGCGUGUAGCAGUGAAAUGCGUAGAUAUGCGGAGGAACACCGAUGGCGAAGGCAAUCCCCUGGACCUGUACUGACGCUCAUGCACGAAAGCGUGGGGAGCAAACAGG